CGGGGUAUGUGUAUGUACAGCUGCGUGUGUGCCAUGGCACCUCAGUGGAAGUCAAAGGAAAACCCUGGGUGCAGCCCUCAUUUGGAUCAGGAUGUCAUUGUUGUCCACAGCUGCCCAUGCCAGGUCAGCUAGCCUUCAGGCUUUGAGAGGCCUCCUGUCUUCUAGAUCACUGUAAGAACACUGAGGUAUAAACACAUGGCCUUACUAGUCCUGGGGACCAUGGGCCCAACUCAGGCCCUCACUUACAUAGCAAGUGGCUUACCCACUGACCCAUCCCUGCCCCCAGCUCUACCCUGCAACACCUCUUCAUCAACAAAACAAGAACUGCCUACUGCCAUCACGCAGCACCUUCAAGAAGAAUCGCAGAGAAGGACACUUCUUCUGUCCUUCCUGUUUUCUGGAAUUUGUCCAUGUUUGAGGUCACAGAAGCAGCAGUCACCUUGCUACAACCUGAUUCCUUACUCUUCUUCUCACGUCUGACCAAGCUGGAAGUCCAGCCUAAGGCUUUACAGAGAAGGAGUCAGAGUUGCUGUGGGCAUUUGCUUUUGCUGCCUGCCUACGGUCUAUUUCCUAUUUUCCUGGAGCAGGUCUCUCCUACGGAUGGUCAAAAGUCCAGCUUCUGGGGUCCAAGUUCUGAAUCGGCUCAGCUCAUUGCCAGUAAAACAAUACUGAGUUGAGAAUGCGCAGAAUACACUGCACCUAAGGAGCAGCGAGCAGCUUAGCAACACAGACUGCUGCAGACAGCCCUCUGUGCUGCUGACUGGAAGCUGUAGCUUGGUGCACUGUUCAGCAUUCCAAGGGAGGUUCCUGCUGCAUCUAUCACCAGCCUGGGAAAAGCUCCAAGCUCAAAGUAUGGUUUCUAUUAAAUGCACGUCAUUUUCACACUGUCAUUAAGGUCAGACUAUUAUAAGUUGGAGACUAUUAGUUGUGAGGAUUUAGUUCUGCUUUCCAUCUAUCAAAUAAGGAUAAAGAGAUGACCAUUACAAAAUGAGGAAGAAACUGAGUUCCUACUUAGAAUUCUUCCCCCAGACAGGACACAGCACAUAACAAUUGCUGUUACUGUUGUAUAUUUGGGGUGUGCUAUCUUAGGAUCCAGUUCUAAGGUGGGGCCUGGGCCUGGCCUCUGGGCACAUCCUUCCAUCUGAAGUCCACAUGGACUAGAAGUGAAAAUGUGGCUGAGCCAAAGCUUGACCAGAGCCCAUUCUGUGGCUUUUCGACAUUCUCAGAAAACCAGGCUGUUGGUGAAGGAGAGGACCUUGAAUCCAGCCAGUUAGUUAUCUGGUCCAAGAGAACUGAGCCAGGGAAAACUGGUUAGAGGACUGAGAAUGUUGACGUUCUGUCUACAUGAUUUACUUACACACACACACACACACACACACACACACACACACACACACACUCACACACAUUCAUUCACCUAUUCAUUGGGAUCCUGGGUUGUAUGUAUCUGACGCUCUAGCAACAUUAAACAAAAAAGGGCACUUUUUCAGUCCUGACAGAGGGAGAGGCAGCUCCUGUUAGUGACCUCUAACCACCUGGAUCCAGCCAACCUAGAAUUUUCCACUGUGUGAGCCAUUAAAUUCUUUAAUUAGAUUAAGCCCUUUGAGUUGUUUUUGGUGGUGUUCUUUGCAGAAGGAAAACAAUCCUAACACACUGAAUCUGGCUGAUCCCUUGAACAAAGACGAUAUAAAGUCACACUUGUAGGGGCUGUUGUCAGAGUGCUGUGUGAGCAGAAAAGCAGAUGCUUGCAGAAACCCAGAGGCAGAGCUCAGAUUCUAGGUAUUUCUAGUCCUAAGCCCGUCGUGGAUACAUGUGGACUCCUGGACCCCAUGGGCACCAGGAUAAUGGGAUAAAGUGCCAUUUCUUGUGUGUAAUGUUACUUGCGUGUCUGAUACAUACUACUCAAUGCUACUCAGGGUCCUAAUGAAUAGGUUAAUGGUGGGUUUUCUUGUUCUGUUUUGUUUUUGUUUUGGGGUUGUUUUUAGUAGACAGAACACAAACAUUCUGUCAGUUCCUCAUACAUGAUUUAGUGAUGCUAACUGGGCAUACAUUUGCCAAAACAACCCUGUCCUGAAUAUGUGUUAGAAAGUUAGAAAAUAUUUAUGGCACAGCAGGCCAGCUGUGGUGGCAAGGCUUUUAAUCCCAUCACUCAGGAGGCAGAGGCAGGAAGAUCUCUGUCUACAUAGUGAGUUUCAGGCCAGUCAGAUCUUACCUACAGUGAGACUGUCUCAA
rnacentral:lncRNA from 1 species